GUUUUUUUGAGUUAAAGGAAGGUUGGAUCUGCUCAAUGUGAGUUGAAUAAAUUGCCGCGGUAAUUUGACUGUGCUAAGGUAGCAUAAUAAGUAGUUUAUUAAUUGUAGACUGGAAUGAAUGAUUUGAUGAUCAAUAGACUUUCUUUAUUUAAUAGGGAUUGAAUUUAAUUUUUGGGUAAAAAAUCUCAGUUGUUUUUAGGGGACGAGAAGACCCUAUAGAACUAAGAUUUCUUUUAGAUUUUAGGUUAAUAUUUGUAUUGAUUAUUUAUUGAAUAUUUAGUUGGGGUGAUUGUUGAAUUAAUUAAACUUUAAUUGGUUUAUAUAUUUAUAGUUAGUUUAUUUGAUCUUUUUUGAUUAUAAGAAAAGUUACCUUAGGGGUAACAGCGUAAUUUUUAUGGAGAGUUCUUAUCAAUAUAGAAGUUUGCGACCUCGAUGUUGAAUUAAGAUUAAUUUUAGGUGGAGGGAUCUAAUUAUUUGGUCUGUUCGACCAUUAAAAUCUUACA
rnacentral:rRNA from 1 species